rnacentral:rRNA from 1 species
GAUGAACGCUGGCGGCGUGCCUAAUACAUGCAAGUCGAGCGAACGGACGAGAAGCUUGCUUUUCUGAUGUUAGCGGCGGACGGGUGAGUAACACGUGGAUAACCUACCUAUAAGACUGGGAUAACUUCGGGAAACCGGAGCUAAUACCGGAUAAUAUUUUGAACCGCAUGGUUCAAAAGUGAAAGACGGUCUUGCUGUCACUUAUAGAUGUAUCCGCGCUGCAUUAGCUAGUUGGUAAGGUAACGGCUUACCAAGGCAACGAUGCAUAGCCGACCUGAGAGGGUGAUCGGCCACACUGGAACUGAGACACGGUCCAGACUCCUAAGGGAGGCAGCAGUAGGGAAUCUUCCGCAAUGGGCGAAAGCCUGACGGAGCAACGCCGCGUGAGUGAUGAAGGUCUUCGGAUCGUAAAACUCUGUUAUUAGGGAAGAACAUAUGUGUAAGUAACUGUGCACAUCUUGACGGUACCUAAUCAGAAAGCCACGGCUAACUACGUG